rnacentral:rRNA from 1 species
GAUGAACGCUGGCGGCGUGCCUAAUACAUGCAAGUCGAGCGAACGGACGAGAAGCUUGCUUCUCUGAUGUUAGCGGCGGACGGGUGAGUAACACGUGGAUAACCUACCUAUAAGACUGGGAUAACUUCGGGAAACCGGAGCUAAUACCGGAUGAUAUUUUGAACCGCAUGGUUCAAAGGUGAAAGACGGUCUUGCUGUCACUUAUAGAUGGAUCCGCGCUGCAUUAGCUAGUUGGUAAGGUAACGGCUUACCAAGGCCACGAUGCAUAGCCGACCUGAGAGGGUGAUCGGCCACACUGGAACUGAGACACGGUCCAGACUCCUACGGGAGGCAGCAGUAGGGAAUCUUCCGCAAUGGGCGAAAGCCUGACGGAGCAACGCCGCGUGAGUGAUGAAGGUCUUCGGAUCGUAAAACUCUGUUAUUAGGGAAGAACAUAUGUGUAAGUAACUGUGCACAUCCUGACGGUACCUAAUCAGAAAGCCACGGCUAACUACGUG